CCGGCGACCGGCGCACGGGUGAGUAACACGUAUGCAACCUGCCCUCCGCAGGGGGAUAACCCGGAGAAAUCCGGACUAAUACCGCGUGGUACAUCUGUGGGGCAUCCCACGGGUGUUAAAAGGAAGCGAUUCCGGCGGAGGAUGGGCAUGCGGCGCAUUAGCUAGUUGGCGGGGUAACGGCCCACCAAGGCGACGAUGCGUAGGGGUUCUGAGAGGGUGGACGGCCACACUGGGACUGAGACACGGCCCAGACUCCUACGGAAGGCAGCAG
rnacentral:rRNA from 1 species